GAGGAUAUAGCUCAGUGAUAGAGUGCAUGCUUAGCAAACAUGAGGUCCUGGAUUCAAUCCCCAGUAUCUCCA
rfam:Camelus ferus unplaced genomic scaffold scaffold473, whole genome shotgun sequence.